UACGGAGGGUGCAAGCGUUAUCCGGAUUCACUGGGUUUAAAGGGUGCGUAGGUGGGUUGGUAAGUCAGUGGUGAAAUCUCCGAGCUUAACUUGGAAACUGCCAUUGAUACUAUCAGUCUUGAAUACCGUGGAGAUGAGCGGAAUGUGUCAUGUAGCGGUGAAAUGCUUAGAUAUGACAUAGAACACCAAUUGCGAAGGCAGCUCGUUACACGAAUAUUGACACUCAGGCACGAAAGCGUGGGGAUCAAACAGG
rnacentral:rRNA from 1 species